rnacentral:lncRNA from 1 species
CAAGGACACCGACCCAUCUGGGAGAGGGAGGGUACCUCACCACUGCCCUCCAGAUGAUCUCCUUGACACCACAGGGUGGGGAAUGUCCUGCACCAGGAGGCUUUGCACCUCUUCAGCUCCAAGUCUGGGAUCCAUGCUGCACAAAGAAACCCAGGGACCUCACCACCAAGUGGCACCUUGAGCCCCUCCACUUCUUUUUUCCCAUGUGUCAGAAUAAGUACCGAGGCUGAACCCAGGGCCUUCACAGUGACUCCCACCCCUAGCCCUUUUGUACUUUUUGAUUUUGAGAUGGGGUCUCCCUAAGUCACUAAGUAACCCAGGCUGAGCUGGAACUUGGGAUUCUCCUGCCUCAGCCUCCUAGAAUGCUGGGAGGGCAGGUGUGUGCCACCCGCCCAGCCAUGGCUAACAUUUUUAACACGCACUCUACACGCCAGUUUUUAAAUACUAACUCAUUUAAUUUUCAAGCCAUCCUAUGAGGAGGACAAAACAGUCGGUCCCCUUUGUAGUAGGGACUCAGGGCACAGAUGAGGGUGAGCUUAUUUCAGGAGCCCCUGGGGAAGGGCCGACAGCAAAUCUGAACUCAGGAAGGUGAGAGUCAGGUCUCAGAGCGCAGGUGACAGGAGGGUAUCCCCGCUCUGUCUCUAAGCUCUGCGUCCCUGGGGGUCCAGAG